rnacentral:rRNA from 1 species
CAGCAGCCACGGGAAUACAGAGGCCUCAAGCGUUGUUCGGAUUCAUUGGGCGUAAAGGGAGCGUAGGCGGUCGGGUAAGUUGGAUGUGAAAUCCUGAGGCUCAACCUCAGAACUGCAUUCAAUACUGCUCGGCUAGAGUAUUGGAGAGGUGAGUGGAAUUCACGGUGUAGCAGUGAAAUGCGUAGAUAUCGUGAGGAAGACCAGCGGCGAAGGCGGCUCACUGGACAAUUACUGACGCUGAUGCUCGAAGGCCAGGGGAGCAAACGGGAUUAGAUACCCCGGUAGUCCCUGUCUCUUAUAC